rnacentral:lncRNA from 1 species
UGCCACCAUGUGAAGAAGGUCCUUGCUUCCUCUUCAUCAUCUAUCAUGAUUGCAAGUUUAGGCCUCCUCAGCCACGUGCAACUGAAGUAGAACUGGGCUGCUUCAUAAGUCUGACUUCAUAUGACAGCUAGAUUCAAAAGGAUGAAAUCAGUAGAGGUGAGACCUCUUGAUGCCUUGGCUUGGAAGUCACAUAUUCUAUUGGCCAAAGCAAAUCACAAGGCCACCACAAAUUCAAGGAGAUGAAGAAAUAGACUCUACCUCUCUUGAUUGGCUUAUAAUAUGGUCAGUUCUUCAGAGGAAGAGGAAAAUUUCAUCUGGCCUCAAAUCUCAGUGAUCGCAUUUGUGGGAACAUAAUGUCUGAAGUAAAGACUAAGUAGAAGUCUGACAAGCAAAAAAAGAAAAAAAGACAAAGACACUCCAAGCAAGAGAAACAACCUGAGCAGAAGCACCCAGGUAUGACAGAAAACGUAGAGAGGAAAGGCUUCCAAAAGCAACAGAGAUUCACAGGAAGCUCCACAGAAAAACGGGUGGUGCAAAAAAUUAGGCAAGAGGGAAAAUGGGGUUAGGCCAUGUACCAACAUGUUCAUCAUUAUACAGUGAUUGGACUUGGAAAGGCAGAAGAGAAGCAAGAGCCAGCAUCCUCAUCUUAUAAACAGAAAAGCUGUCUGGGCGUGGUGGCUCAUGCCUGUAAUCCUAGCACUUUGGGAGGCCAAAGCGGGCGGAUCACGAGAUCAGGAGAUCGAGACCAUCCUGGCUAACACAGUGAAACCCCGUCUCUACUAAAAAUACAAAAAAUAUUAGCCGGGCAUAGUGGCGGGCGCCCGUAGUCCCAGCUACUCGGGAGGCUGAGGCAGGAGAAUGGCGUGAACCCGGGAGGCAGAGCUUGCAGUGAGCCGAGAUCAUGCCACUGCACUCCAGCCUGGGCGACAGAACGAGACUCUGUCUCAAAAAAGAAAAGCUAAGGACCAGGUGUUUUUCAGUGACUUACCCAAGGUCACAUCCUUACUCAGGAGCAGAGUUUAGGCAGUGUUCCAGGUCUUCUACUUCUAAAUCCAACAAUGUUCAGGGAGCUCUUCAUUAUCUGAUCCCUGUCUACCUACCACUUUCUAUGGUGAUACCCAGUUCCCAGCCUUGCUGUCCUUUUUCUCCUCUGGCACGUUUGUCUUCAUAUUUUGGGGCCUUUGCCUACACUUAUCCCACUUAAAAGCCUUUCCCUCACUUAACCUUCUCAAAUUCUGACCAAGAACUGAUAACUUGCAACUCAUGAUUCAAGACCUUACUGAGGAGUCUGCUCCUUUAGAGUCCAGUGUGUGUCCUUCUAAUACUCCUUGAUAUGGUUUGGCUCUGUGUCCCCAUCCAAAUCUCAUCUCGAAUUGUAAUCCCCACAUGUCUAGGGAGAGAUCCAGUGGGAGGUGAUUGGAUCAUGGGGGCAGUUUCCCCCAUGCUGUUCUCAUGAUAGUGAGUGAAUUCUCAUGAGAUCUGGUGGUUUUAUAAGGUGCUCUUCCC